rnacentral:rRNA from 1 species
AGUAGCCGCGGUAAUUCCAGCUCCAAUAGCGUAUAUUAAAGUUGUUGCAGUUAAAAAGCUCGUAGUUGAAUUUCGGGAUUAGUACGCUGGUCGUGCCUUCGGUAUGUACUGGUGUUACUGAUUCCUACCUUCUGAAGAACCGUCAUGUCAUUAAUUUGGUGUGGCGGGGAAUCAGGACUGUUACUUUGAAAAAAUUGAGUGUUUAAAGCAGGCUCGCGCUUAAAUACAUUAGCAUGGAAUAAUGAAAUAGGACGUUCGAUCCUAUUUUGUUGGUUUCUAGGAUUGACGUAAUGAUUAAUAGGGAUAGUUGGGGGCAUUAGUAUUCAAUUGUCAGAGGUGAAAUUCUUGGAUUUAUUGAAGACUAACUACUGCGAAAGCAUUUGCCAAGGAUGUUUUCAUUAAUCAAGAACGAAAGUUAGGGGAAUCGAAGACGAUCAGAUACCGUCGUAGUCUUAACCAUAAACUAUGCCGACUAGGGAUCGGAUGAUGUAAUUUUUAAUGACUCAUUCGGCGCCUUACG